GAUGAACGCUGGCGGCGUGCCUAAUACAUGCAAGUCGAGCGAACGGACGAGAAGCUUGCGUCUCUGAUGUUAGCGGCGGACGGGUGAGUAACACGUGGAUAACCUACCUAUAAGACUGGGAUAACUUCGGGAAACCGUAGCUAAUACCGGAUAAUAUUUUGAACCGCAUGGUUCAAAAGUGAAAGACGGUCUUGCUGUCACUUAUAGAUGGAUCCGCGCUGCAUUAGCUAGUUGGUAAGGUAACGGCUUACCAAGGCAACGAUGCAUAGCCGACCUGAGAGGGUGAUCAGCCACACUGGAACUGAGACACGGUCCAGACUCCUACGGGACGCAGCAGUAGGGAAUCGUCCGCAAUGGGCGAAAGCCUGACGGAGCAACGCCGCGUGAGUGAUGAAGGGCUUCGGAUCGUAAAACUCUGUUAUUAGGGAAGAACAUUUGUGUAAGUAACUGUGCACAUCUUGACGGUACCGAAUCAGAAAGCCCCGGCUAACUACGUG
rnacentral:rRNA from 1 species